rnacentral:rRNA from 1 species
UCGAACGGAGCUUAGAGAGCUUGCUUUUUAAGCUUAGUGGCGAACGGGUGAGUAACGCGUGAGUAACCUGCCCUAGAGUGGGGGACAACAGUUGGAAACGACUGCUAAUACCGCAUAAGCCCACGGUACCGCAUGGUACUGAGGGAAAAGGAUUUAUUCGCUUUAGGAUGGACUCGCGUCCAAUUAGCUAGUUGGUGAGGUAACGGCCCACCAAGGCGACGAUUGGUAGCCGGACUGAGAGGUUGAACGGCCACAUUGGGACUGAGACACGGCCCAGACUCCUACGGGAGGCAGCAGUGGGGGAUACUGCACAAUGGGGGAAACCCUGAUGCAGCGACGCCGCGUGGAGGAAGAAGGUUUUCGGAUUGUAAACUCCUGUCGUUAGGGACGAUAAUGACGGUACCUAACAAGAAAGCACCGGCUAACUACGUGCCAGCAGCCGCGGUAAAACGUAGGGUGCAAGCGUUGUCCGGAAUUACUGGGUGUAAAGGGAGCGCAGGCGGGAAGACAAGUUGGAAGUGAAAACCAUGGGCUCAACCCAUGAAUUGCUUUCAAAACUGUUUUUCUUGAGUAGUGCAGAGGUAGAUGGAAUUCCCGGUGUAGCGGUGGAAUGCGUAGAUAUCGGGAGGAACACCAGUGGCGAAGGCGGUCUACUGGGCAC